GUGUUUUAUGGAGAGAGUUUAACAUAAUGAGUGACAACGAGUUUUUUUUAUGAUUUUUUGCAGAACGAUGAGGAGGAGUUAGAUUUAUUAGAGUUUGUUCAAGUUCCAAAAAAUUAAGAAUAUCUUGAAAAAGUGGUGCCAUUGUUUGAUGACAUACAAUUUCUCGAGCACUUCAGAAUAAGCAAAACAACGUGUUCUAAUAUAUCAGAAAUAUAUGAAGAUAGUAAAUAUUAUAACAAAAUUAAAUAUGGACCAUUUGGAAAAAUCUGUGCAUUAAUCAGAUACUAAUAUUAUUAUGGUUUGCGGGACACCAAACAUCCAGCUACAGGGAUGUCAGUGAUCGUUUUAAUAUAACAUUCAGGCAGUUUGUGAUGACCAAAAGAAAAUUAUAGAUGUGUGCAUUGGAAAUCCUGCUUCUGUUCAUGAUGCCAGAAUAUUUCGAAAAUCAAAAUUGGGCUCAAAUUUAAUUCAAAACUGUGAACAUUUUGUUUUAUUAGGAGAUAAUGGCUACCCACUAAAUGCAAAUUUGAUGACACCUUAUAAAAAUAUUCAUGGCCUUACAGUAAUUCAGAAAAAUUUUAAUAAAAAACUC